AUUGAGCGCUGGCGGCGUGCUUAACACAUGCAAGUCGAUCGGUAACAGGUGUAGCAAUACAUGCUGACGAGAGGCGGACGGGUGAGUAAUGCUUGGGAAUCUGCCUAUUAGUGGGGGACAACCCGGGGAAACUCGGGCUAAUACCGCAUACGCUCUACGGAGGAAAGCCGGGGACCGCAAGGCCUGGCGCUAAUAGAUGAGCCCAAGUCGGAUUAGCUAGUUGGUAGGGAACGGCCUACCAAGGCGACAAUCCGUAGCUGGUCUGAGAGGACGACCAGCCACACCGGAACUGAGACACGGUCCGGACUCCUACGGGAGGCAGCAGUGGGGAAUAUUGGACAAUGGGGGCAACCCUGAUCCAGCCAUGCCGCGUGAGUGAUGAAGGCCUUAGGGUUGUAAAGCUCUUUUACCCGGG
rnacentral:rRNA from 1 species